ensembl:lncRNA
GGGGACCAGACACAUUGUCAUUGAGGUGCCCGUGGUUGUGUAGGUGGCAUUGGGGACCAGACACGUUGUCAUCGAGGUGCCCGUGGUUGUGUAGGUGACAUUGGCGACCAGACACGUUGUCAUCGAGGUGCCCGUGGUUGUGUAGGUGACAUUGGCGACCAGACACGUUGUCAUCGAGGUGCCCGUGGUUGUGUAGAUGACAUUGGGGACCAGACAUGUUGUCAUCGAGGUGCCCGUGGUUGUGUAGGUGACAUUGGCGACCAGACAUGUUGUCAUCGAGGUGCCCGUGGUUGUGUAGGUGACAUUGGGGACCAGACAUGUUUGUCAAUGUGUUUAUCUGUAUUGAAUCAUCAGAAUACUACUACUAGUAAUAAUUAGAGAAGCAGAAUGAAUGGAUGCCCUCUAGGUCGCCUCAUUCCUUUGUCCAUGCACACGCACGCACACACACAUAGACACACACACUUCCAUCGUCCUCUGUCCUGAUUGUUCAGCUAUAGAUCUGCUUUACCCUGCUCUCUUCAGACGCAACAACAGUCUCA